GACGAACGCUGGCGGCGUGCUUAACACAUGCAAGUCGAACGAAGAGCGAUGGAAGCUUGCUUCUAUCAAUCUUAGUGGCGCACGGGUGAGUAACGCGUAAUCAACCUGCCCUUCAGAGGGGGACAACAGUUGGAAACGACUGCUAAUACCGCAUACGAUCUAAUCUCGGCAUCGAGGAUAGAUGAAAGGUGGCCUCUACAUGUAAGCUAUCACUGAAGGAGGGGAUUGCGUCUGAUUAGCUAGUUGGAGGGGUAACGGCCCACCAAGGCGAUGAUCAGUAGCCGGUCUGAGGGGAUGGACGGCCACAUUGGGACUGGGACACGGCCCAGACUCCUACGGGAGGCAGCAGUGGGGAAUCUUCCGCAAUGGACGAAAGUCUGACGGAGCAACGCCGCGUGAGUGAUGACGGCCUUCGGGUUGGAAAGCUCUGUUAAUCGGGACGAAAGGCCUUCUUGCGAAUAGUGAGAAGGAUUGACGGUACCGGAAUAGAAAGCCACGGCUAACUACGUG
rnacentral:rRNA from 1 species